rnacentral:rRNA from 1 species
UGGGGAAUUUUGGACAAUGGGCGAAAGCCUGAUCCAGCAAUGCCGCGUGUGUGAAGAAGGCCUUCGGGUUGUAAAGCACUUUUGUCCGGAAAGAAAUCCUUGGCUCUAAUACAGUCGGGGGAUGACGGUACCGGAAGAAUAAGCACCGGCUAACUACAUGCCAGCAGCCGCGGUAAUACGUAGGGUGCAAGCGUUAAUCGGAAUUACUGGGCGUAAAGCGUGCGCAGGCGGUUUGCUAAGACCGAUGUGAAAUCCCCGGGCUCAACCUGGGAACUGCAUUGGUGACUGGCAGGCUAGAGUAUGGCAGAGGGGGGUAGAAUUCCACGUGUAGCAGUGAAAUGCGUAGAGAUGUGGAGGAAUACCGAUGGCGAAGGCAGCCCCUGGGCCAAUACUGACGCUCAUGCACGAAAGCGUGGGGAGCAAAACAGGAUUAGAUACCCUGGUAGUCCACGCCCUAAACGAUGUCAACUAGUUGUUGGGGAUUCAUUUCCUUAGUAACGUAGCUAACGCGUGAAGUUGACCGCCUGGGGAGUACGGUCGCAAGAUU